rnacentral:misc_RNA from 1 species
GAAAACUCCAGCAAUACACUGCAUUACAAUUUUACAAUCCAAACCAAAUUUCUUUCUUGUUGAAUUUGCAGCCUAUUCCUCUGUAUAUAGGGCUAUACUAUCUACCCGAAUUCGCGCUCUACGGGACCAGUCUAAUCUAAGUUUAAACAGUAAUACAAAAAUACUAGAAUUAGGAUAUGCUAGAAUAGAGAAACUAUACAUUUAACAUGUUGCUAUACUUGAGGUAGCUAUUGAGAAGUCUUAAAAGAUAGUGAUUGAACAGUCAGAGGGCCUGGAGCAGCUGAGUUGAGGAAUUCUGUUCAGCUGAAAAAUCUUGUGAAGAAUUCAUGUUCACCUUUAUCCUGUUAUGAAUGUUGACAUAUUCAUCGGUUUCAUCCAAUAUCUCCUCCUGAAGAAGCUCCUCAAUGACAUCUUCCAUAGUAAUAACACCAACAACUUCUUGAUUGGAAGGGAUCUCUGGUAUUGGAGUGUUUUCCAAAUCCAAAAUACAAAAUGAGCAACCUUUGUGUCUCUUCUUGAAAGCAGGAGUAGGGGGAGGAGAUUUCUUUGGGACUUGGUCAUCAUCAGCCUUAUGUAAUGCAGUCUUAAUGUCAUGCGAGUUAGAUUUUGGUGUUGUGCUAUCAGCAUCUUUAUCAUUCACUGGCAUAUCUUUCGUCUCGUUCAGAUCUUUAUAUACAACAGCGAUGUGGCUAUGGCCCUUCUGAAACUCAUUCAAAAUGUCAUACAGAGGCAUGUUUUCAGAAACCCUCGGAAUUUUUCUUAUCAACAUUUUCCUCAGGGGAACUGAAUUUUCUUCUGAGUGAACCGCCAAAAGAUUUUUAACCAAAAUUAGUCCUAUAAUAUUUGUCGACUUUCUGUAGUAAACAGGAACUCUGCUAUGCCCCAUUGUCAUUAUAGCAUUUAGUGUUUCCAAGUUAAGUGUUCCAUCCAGAUCAAGAGAAAAAGCCUUUGAUAUUGGAGUCAUCGCAUCUUUUGCAGUUUUUUCUGUCAACUCCAGUGCUCCAGCAAUUAUUGUUGUUUCAUCAUGUGUCAAAUCCCCUCCUUUUCCAGCCUCAUUGCCAUGGAAAUCCACAAAAGUUUUGAGCUCAGCUCUUCGCAGAAGGGCAGCGUGCCCCUUACCUAACAUCCAAUCCAAGACCUUACUAAUUGGAUAAGCAAUGGGGAAGAAUAACCAGAGAAGAAGCUGAACAAGGGGUGCCACAGUAGCUCCAACAGUCAAUCCAUAGCGAGUACAGAUUGCUUGAGGAAUUAUCUCUCCAAACAUGAGAAUCAGUGUCACAGAUACCAGUACAGCUGCCCAUGAAGGUACAAGCUUGUCCAAGAAAAUUGGAAGAGACUCCAUUGCUAAAGAGUUGCCGAUCAAGAGUGUGCAAAGCAAAAGGUGUUGGUUUUUUACGACUGGAAGUAUUUUAGAGGCAUGACUACGAUCUUGUGGACGACCAGAUUUGCUGAGAACUUCAAGGUCGACAAGUCCAAGAGACAUAAGACCAAGUGUAAGACCAGCCAUCAAACCAGCAAACAACACCAAUCCUAUAAUAACCAAAAUAAACACAAA